rnacentral:rRNA from 1 species
UACGUAGGGCGCAAGCGUUGUCCGGAAUUAUUGGGCGUAAAGAGCUCGUAGGCGGUUUGUCGCGUCUGCUGUGAAAACCCGAGGCUCAACCUCGGGCCUGCAGUGGGUACGGGCAGACUAGAGUGCGGUAGGGGAGAUUGGAAUUCCUGGUGUAGCGGUGGAAUGCGCAGAUAUCAGGAGGAAUACCGGUGGCGAAGGCGGCAUCCUGGACCGACAUUGACGCUGAGGAGCGAAAGCUAGGGGAGCAAACGGG